CGGGAGGGCUGGUCGGGAGGAGGGGGCGGAUCGCGGCCUGUCAGCCAGGCACCGGCGGAAGCGGCCGCAGGCUCAGUGUCUGAAACUUGGAGUGGCGAAACAUGUCUCAGUCAGGCGAAAAAGUGAAGUUUUCCGACUCAGCAGGCUAUGUGGGGUUCGCCAAUCUGCCCAACCAGGUUCACAGGAAAUCUGUGAAGAAAGGCUUUGAGUUCACAUUGAUGGUGGUUGGUGAAUCUGGCUUGGGAAAAUCCACAUUAAUUAACAGUUUGUUCUUGACUGAUCUUUAUCCAGAACGUUAUAUUCCUGGAGCUGCAGAGAAAAUAGAGAGGACUGUUCAGAUCGAAGCUUCCACAGUAGAGAUUGAGGAGCGAGGAGUGAAACUGCGUCUAACGGUCGUCGACACACCGGGAUAUGGAGAUGCCAUUAACAGCCAGGACUGCUUCAAAACUAUUAUCCAGUACAUUGACAACCAGUUUGAAAGGUACCUUCAUGAUGAAAGUGGCCUGAACAGACGUCACAUUAUAGACAACAGAGUCCAUUGCUGCUUUUACUUCAUCUCUCCCUUUGGGCAUGGGCUGAAACCUUUAGAUGUAGAAUUCAUGAAGGCUCUGCAUGGAAAAGUCAACAUUGUCCCUGUGAUUGCCAAGGCUGACACACUGACGCUGAAGGAGAGAGAGAGGCUGAAGAGAAGAGUUCUGGAUGAGAUUUCGGAGCAUGGCAUUAGGAUUUAUCAGCUCCCUGAUGCAGACUCUGAUGAGGAUGAGGAGUUCAAAGAACAAACCAGAGUUCUGAAGGCUAGCAUCCCCUUUGCUGUCAUUGGAUCCAAUCAACUUAUUGAGGUGAAAGGGAAAAAAAUCAGAGGCCGUCUGUAUCCCUGGGGAGUGGUGGAAGUUGAAAAUCCAGAGCACAACGAUUUCCUUAAGCUGCGCACAAUGCUGGUAACGCACAUGCAGGACCUGCAGGAGGUGACCCAGGACUUGCACUAUGAGAACUUCCGUUCAGAGAGGCUAAAACGUACUGGCAAGCCUGUUGAAGAAGAAGUGGUAGAUAAGGAUAGAAUCCUCCAGCAGAAAGAGGCUGAGCUGCGCCGCAUGCAGGAGAUGAUUGCACAGAUGCAAGCCCAAAUGAGGAUGAAGCCUGGUGAUGAUUAAGAGGUUUAACAUCUGGAUGCAUCAGGCUGGAGUAAGAGAAGCAUAAAGGGAGUGUCAAAGGCAAAGCUUGUACACAGGGAAUAUAUUAAAAGUUUCCAAAGAGGAUAGACAGAUUUCUUGCUGUGGAGAAGCAGAAACUGGAAAGAGAAUGAAGAGGAGCACUGGUGGAAACUGGGUUAGAGGUAGGAAAGGAAGAUGCCUUUGGGAACAGGAGUGACCAUGCUGCCAACUGCAGGUUUUGACAAAAGGCUGUGAGGAGACCUAUUCUAGGAGAUGGUGGUGAAGAACUUUUGAGAGCAGCCCUAGCAAAGGUGAUGACUGACACUGUUUUGUCCUUUCUUCCAAGCAUGUCAUGGCCUCUGUGUGCAAACAGUAUCACAGUAUCAACAAGGCUGGAAAAGACCUCACAGAUCAUCAAGUCCAACCCUUUACCACAAUUCUCAAGGCUAGACCAUGGCACCAAGUGCCACAUCCAAUCCUGCCUUGAACAGCCCCAGGGACUGUUCACAGUGCAUGUGAAGGUGUUUGCAGCAGGCAGUGAGAGCACAGCUCUUCACCAGCAUACUCUAGGAAUGAGCAGGAAUAAUUGUAUCUUUUUUCACCCUAAAUUUUGAUAUACUCAUCUUACAAGUCCAUGUGAAGCAUGGUAAAGACUUGAAGACAAGCUUGAUUUUGUUCAGAUUUUUUGCUUCUGAAAUGCAAGACCCUGCUGUAAAGUGGAGGAGCUUACUGCUGCUUCUCCUUGACAGUUCAAAUGAAGGAUUGGAAAGGAAGGAGAUGGAGGGGUGGAGUAAGCUAACAAAAACUAAACCAGGUUUAGAUUUAGCUUUAUUUGGAUACUACAAAAUGCUUGUGAAAUAAGCUUGCAGUAAUCCCAACAGCAUAUCUGCCAAUUUCUGAACUUGUCCAUCCCAGAUGAACAAUUAUUACAACAAGCUGGAAUGAUUGUUUCAAAUGAAGUGGUUAUUGAGGGGUGUUUCUUCUCUUUUCUUCUUUGUUCCUAAAAGUAUAUCUCUGCAAUCUGUUUUCCUCUUCUUAUUCUUACAAAUCUGGAUUGUCUGUCUCCCACUCAGCUUCAAGAUCAUUUUGGGACAAACCAGUAACAGAAGCCAGCCUAUGGAAAACAAAUAUAGCCAGCUGGAAAUAUAGCUGUGGUUAGGGAUAUGUGCUCAGAAAAAAAAACUAAGCAUCUUAACACUUAAAAUAUCUGUAGGAUGUUGAAUUUUUUUUUCAAUACAGCUUCUGGUUUCCACAAGUAUUUGAAAGCCUCCUGAGCACACUAACACUGUUCUGGUUCUUGGUAGAACCAGUACUAAAGGCACCAAAGAGCUGCUUCUUCCUACCAAUGAAUUGACAUCAUUUAAGAGAACAACACAAGGCAUUGUCAUAGCAACCAGCCUGCUAAAACGAUGCUGCUGAAUACUGAAUUGAUCUGCUGAGAAAUGUCAUCUGAGGAAGUGAAGAUCCUGUUGUAGUUUUUGGCAGCUGAAUUUGAGAGCCUGGAGAAUGUGAAGCUUGGGCAAAUUUGUAGUAUUUGGAACAAGUGCCUGGCACUGCCAGUGGCUGUUUCUCUGGCUUGGAGGAGUGCUCUCAUUCUCCAGCUCUUUUCAGCUCUUCUGGCUGGGGAGUGGUUCAGCAAACCCUACACUGAAGGGCUCACACAAGUUUUUGUUUCCCUUACAGUAGGCUUCUGAUAGAAGUUUUUCUUCUGCUACUGUACAGCUCAAGUCUGGAACUUGUCUGGCUCCAUAGGACCUUGAAGUUAACUUUUAUAGAAAGUUCAUAGCUGAGUCCUCAAGAGCCACAUUGUGUGGAGGGCUAGGCAGGCUUCAGCAUACAGGUCUCUAAGUGGAUGGGUGCUGUCUUGUCUUUGACCGAAUGGUAACGUUGAAAUACAAAAGCCGGAUGCCGCAGAUCGAGACCUGCGUGAAACACAAAGUCUGAAGAUCGUGUUGUGAAACGGCUUGGUUUCUAUAUUCCAUGUUAAUCAAGUAUAUUGUAGCUCUUUUCUUUUGGUAACACUGUCUUCAUACUUAUCAAUGGGGGCUUAUUAUCCUUCCUUUACCCUUUUAUACCACAGCUGAUAGAGUACACUGUUUGGGCUAGUGGUCGUGCUGGUUUUGAGGAAUUAGUCGUGGAUCAGCUAGGUUGUUGUGAGCAAUUUGUGAUUAGUACUGAAAGACCUGGUGGGCUGUUUACAGUCAAUGUGUGUGUGUUUGCAUCACUCACCUGCCAUUUGAACUCCUUGUGUAUCAUAUCAGUCUUCCAUCAUUUUCUUUAUGCUUUGGUUAGUUUUGGAGCUUCGUCUCUGGUGGUUUCUAUUUGUGUCAGCUAUGAGAAAAUGUGCAAAGCACUGAUGAUUCACCAGUGAUGCAAAGAAGCUGACUUUCCUAAAUCAUCGUGCCUUAACACAGCAUAAACACUGCACAUGCCAACAGCUCCUGUGGAUGCCUCUGGAGAUUUAUCUUCAGGUCUCCAGCACUGAUUGCAAGAAUUUCUGUGGCAAGCAUUUUUAUCUGUCAGCUGAGUGAUGGCAUGUACUGAACUUUUUAUAUACCAUAACACUAAUUUUCAUUGAAGUUUUGUAAUAAAUUGUAUGAAUGUGGAAAA